UUGAUAACUUGGGAGACUGAAGUCUUCUGCUUACUCACAGAACAAACACAGCAUGUGCAGCAGCAAUGCAAGCUUCCCCACACCAUUCUGCCAAUGUGUCUCAACCCUGCCCGGAGGGACCAUCUCUAGGGCUGAGAGGGUAGUUCAUUCCACAUGCUGCUUUUAUCUUUGGCAAUC
rnacentral:sRNA from 1 species